rnacentral:rRNA from 1 species
UAAUGCUUGGGAACUUGCCUUUGCGAGGGGGAUAACAGUUGGAAACGACUGCUAAUACCGCAUAAUGUCUUCGGACCAAACGGGGCUUAGGCUCCGGCGCAAAGAGAGGCCCAAGUGAGAUUAGCUAGUUGGUAAGGUAACGGCUUACCAAGGCGACGAUCUCUAGCUGUUCUGAGAGGAAGAUCAGCCACACUGGGACUGAGACACGGCCCAGACUCCUACGGGAGGCAGCAGUGGGGAAUAUUGCACAAUGGGGGAAACCCUGAUGCAGCCAUGCCGCGUGUGUGAAGAAGGCCUUCGGGUUGUAAAGCACUUUCAGUUGUGAGGAAAAGUUAGUAGUUAAUACCUGCUAGCCGUGACGUUAACAACAGAAGAAGCACCGGCUAACUCCGUGCCAGCAGCCGCGGUAAUACGGAGGGUGCGAGCGUUAAUCGGAAUUACUGGGCGUAAAGCGCACGCAGGCGGUUUGUUAAGCUAGAUGUGAAAGCCCCGGGCUCAACCUGGGAUGGUCAUUUAGAACUGGCAGACUAGAGUCUUGGAGAGGGGAGUGGAAUUCCAGGUGUAGCGGUGAAAUGCGUAGAUAUCUGGAGGAACAUCAGUGGCGAAAGGCGACUCCCUGGCCAAAGACUGACGCUCAUGUGCGAAAGUGUGGGUAGCGAACAGGAUUAGAUACCC